rnacentral:rRNA from 1 species
AACGAACGCUGGCGGCAUGCCUAACACAUGCAAGUCGAACGAGACCUUCGGGUCUAGUGGCGCACGGGUGCGUAACGCGUGGGAACCUGCCUUUAGGUUCGGAAUAACUCAGAGAAAUUUGAGCUAAUACCGGGUGAUGUCUUCGGACCAAAGAUUUAUCGCCUGUAGAUGGGCCCGCGUUGGAUUAGCUAGUUGGUGGGGUAAAGGCCUACCAAGGCGACGAUCCAUAGCUGGUCUGAGAGGAUGAUCAGCCACACUGGGACUGAGACACGGCCCAGACUCCUACGGGAAGCAGCAGUGGGGAAUAUUGGACAAUGGGCGAAAGCCUGAUCCAGCAAUGCCGCGUAAGUGAUGAAGGCCUUAGGGUUGUAAAGCUCUUUUACCCGAGAUGAUAAUGACAGUAUCGGGAGAAUAAGCUCCGGCUAACUCCGUG